rnacentral:rRNA from 1 species
GGGUUGUGAGGUUAAGCGACUAAGCGUACACGGUGGAUGCCCUGGCAGUCAGAGGCGAUGAAGGACGUGCUAAUCUGCGAUAAGCGCCGGUAAGGUGAUAUGAACCGUUAUAACCGGCGAUUUCCGAAUGGGGAAACCCAGUGUGAUUCGUCACACUAUCAUUAACUGAAUCCAUAGGUUAAUGAGGCGAACCGGGGGAACUGAAACAUCUAAGUACCCCGAGGAAAAGAAAUCAACCGAGAUUCCCCCAGUAGCGGCGAGCGAACGGGGAGGAGCCCAGAGCCUGAAUCAGCAUGUGUGUUAGUGGAAGCGUCUGGAAAGACGCGCGAUACAGGGUGACAGCCCCGUACACAAAAGCGCAUGUGCUGUGAGCUCGAUGAGUAGGGCGGGACACGUGGUAUCCUGUCUGAAUAUGGGGGGACCAUCCUCCAAGGCUAAAUACUCCUGACUGACCGAUAGUGAACCAGUACCGUGAGGGAAAGGCGAAAAGAACCCCGGCGAGGGGAGUGAAAAAGAACCUGAAACCGUGUACGUACAAGCAGUGGGAGCCCCACCACUAAGCCAGUGGUGAACUCCACAUACGCAUCCUUUGCUGAGGAUACGGUUAACGGAGCGAAAGCGACGUUCAACCUCAAAAGAAGCAGAGGGGGCUUAGUGGUGGGGUGACUGCGUACCUUUUGUAUAAUGGGUCAGCGACUUAUAUUCUGUAGCAAGGUUAACCGAAUAGGGGAGCCGGAGGGAAACCGAGUCUUAACCGGGCGUUAAGUUGCAGGGUAUAGACCCGAAACCCGGUGAUCUAGCCAUGGGCAGGUUGAAGGUUGGGUAACACUAACUGGAGGACCGAACCGACUAAUGUUGAAAAAUUAGCGGAUGACCUGUGGCUGGGGGUGAAAGGCCAAUCAAACCGGGAGAUAGCUGGUUCUCCCCGAAAGCUAUUUAGGUAGCGCCUCGUGAACUCAUCUCCGGGGGUAGAGCACUGUUUCGGCUAGGGGGCCAUCCCGGCUUACCAACCCGAUGCAAACUGCGAAUACCGGAGAAUGUUAUCACGGGAGACACACGGCGGGUGCUAACGUCCGUCGUGAAGAGGGAAACAACCCAGACCGCCAGCUAAGGUCCCAAAGUCAUGGUUAAGUGGGAAACGAUGUGGGAAGGCCCAGACAGCCAGGAUGUUGGCUUAGAAGCAGCCAUCAUUUAAAGAAAGCGUAAUAGCUCACUGGUCGAGUCGGCCUGCGCGGAAGAUGUAACGGGGCUAAACCAUGCACCGAAGCUGCGGCAGCGAACGUAUCACCCAAGACAACUUUACGGAGUUGACGAUUGACGGAGCGAAGCGACGUCAAAGCGUUCAUUAAAGUCGAGUUGGCUUAGGGAUACGUUCGUUGGGUAGGGGAGCGUUCUGUAAGCCUGUGAAGGUGGCCUGUGAGGGUUGCUGGAGGUAUCAGAAGUGCGAAUGCUGACAUAAGUAACGAUAAUGCGGGUGAAAAACCCGCACGCCGGAAGACCAAGGGUUCCUGUCCAACGUUAAUCGGGGCAGGGUGAGUCGACCCCUAAGGCGAGGCCGAAAGGCGUAGUCGAUGGGAAACAGGUUAAUAUUCCUGUACUUGGUGUUACUGCGAAGGGGGGACGGAGAAGGCUAUGUUAGCCGGGCGACGGUUGUCCCGGUUUAAGCAUGUAGGCGGAGGUUCCAGGUAAAUCCGGUACCUUAUUAACGCUGAGGUGUGAUGACGAGGCACUACGGUGCUGAAGUAACAAAUGCCCUGCUUCCAGGAAAAGCCUCUAAGCAUCAGGUAACAUCAAAUCGUACCCCAAACCGACACAGGUGGUCAGGUAGAGAAUACCAAGGCGCUUGAGAGAACUCGGGUGAAGGAACUAGGCAAAAUGGUGCCGUAACUUCGGGAGAAGGCACGCUGACA